CGACGUUGUGGCGCAAUGGAAGCGCGUCGGAUUCCGGAUCCGAAGGUUGCGGGUUCGACCCCGUCAGCGUCGG
rnacentral:tRNA from 1 species